GCGUGAAUGAAGAAGGCCCUAGGGUUGUAAAGUUCUUUCAGUGGGGAAGAUAAUGACGGUACCCACAGAAGAAGCCCCGGCUAACUCCGUGCCAGCAGCCGCGGUAAUACGGAGGGGGCUAGCGUUGUUCGGAAUUACUGGGCGUAAAGCGCGCGUAGGCGGCCUGAAAAGUUGAGGGUGAAAGCCCGGAGCUCAACUCCGGAAAUGCCUUCAAAACUGCCAGGCUAGAGUCCGGGAGAGGUGAGUGGAAUUCCCAGUGUAGAGGUGAAAUUCGU
rnacentral:rRNA from 1 species